AUGGUUGUAGAAGGAGAUGUGACUCCUAGUGAACGGAGAGGCAUGUUCACUUUUUCGUCAUAUUUCAUUUAUCCUUGUAGCAGUUUUGUUUUCAAUUAUAAUAACUACUAUUUUUUUGGGUUUUCCGACCAUGUUCUAUAUUUUGUUUGUUCUAUGCAGGGGUCUGCAAACCAUUCUUCUAGGCAGAAUUUGAAACGGCCCGCCGAUCGGCAGUCUCGUCGUGCUGAUAUCGACGCGGAGGCAGAGGAUGAUGAGGUAAGUAUCGAGCAAGUAGUGUGGGUUCAUUCCCCUUUCCUGCAUACAGACGCAAGUAACUUUUUCCAUGCAUCCUUUAGGUUGGUGACCAAUUCUGCAUCGUGA
rnacentral:rRNA from 1 species